GUGAGGAAUUUUCCGCAAUGGGCGAAAGCCUGACGGAGCAAUGCCGCGUGAAGGAUGAAGGCCUAUGGGUUGUAAACUUCUUUUCUCAGAAAAGAAUUAUGACGGUAUCUGAGGAAUAAGCAUCGGCUAACUCUGUGCCAGCAGCCGCGGUAAGACAGAGGAUGCAAGCGUUAUCCGGAAUGAUUGGGCGUAAAGCGUCUGUAGGUUGUUUAAAAAGUAUUCUGUCAAAGAUUAGGGCUUAACCCUAGAUAGGCAGAAUAAACUUUUAAGCUAGAGUUUGGUAGAGGCAGAGGGAAUUCCCGGUGGAGCGGUGAAAUGCGUAGAUAUCGGGAGGAACACCAAAGGCGAAGGCACUCUGCUGGGCCAAUACUAACACUGAGAGAAGAAAGCGAGGGGAGCAAAUGGGAUUAGAAACCCUGGUAGUCC
rnacentral:rRNA from 1 species